rnacentral:tRNA from 4 species
GGGUUGGUAGCUCAGUCGGUAGAGCAGCGGACUUUUAAUCCGUUGGUCCCGGGUUCGAAUCCCGGCCAACCCACCA